rnacentral:tRNA from 1 species
GGAAGGGUGGCUGAGUCCGGUCGAAGGCACUCGACUCGAAAUCGAGCGUGCGGCCAAAAGCUGCACCGGGGGUUCGAAUCCCUCCCCUUCCGCCA